rnacentral:rRNA from 1 species
UACGUAGGGGGCAAGCGUUGUCCGGAAUCAUUUGGCGUAAAGCGCGUGUAGGCGGCUCGAUAAGUCUGCUGUGAAAGUCCAGGGCUCAACCCUGGGAUGCCGGUGGAUACUGUCGAGCUCGAGUCCGGAAGAGGCGAGUGGAAUUCCUGGUGUAGCGGUGAAAUGCGCAGAUAUCAGGAGGAACACCAAUGGCGAAGGCAGCUCGCUGGGACGUGACUGACGCUGAGACGCGAAAGCGUGGGGAGCAAACAGG